CAGCAGCCGCGGUAAUACGGAGGGAGCUAGCGUUGUUCGGAAUUACUGGGCGUAAAGCGCACGUAGGCGGCUUUGUAAGUUAGAGGUGAAAGCCUGGAGCUCAACUCCAGAAUUGCCUUCAAGACUGCAUCGCUUGAAUCCAGGAGAGGUGAGUGGAAUUCCGAGUGUAGAGGUGAAAUUCGUAGAUAUUCGGAAGAACACCAGUGGCGAAGGCGGCUCACUGGACUGGUAUUGACGCUGAGGUGCGAAAGCGUGGGGAGCAAACGGGAUUAGAUACCCCGGUAGUCCCUGUCUCUUAUAC
rnacentral:rRNA from 1 species